rnacentral:rRNA from 1 species
AUUUGGUCGUAGACCCGAAACCAGGUGAUCUACCCUUGGUCAGGUUGAAGUUCAGGUAACACUGAAUGGAGGACCGAACCGACUUACGUUGAAAAGUGAGCGGAUGAACUGAGGGUAGCGGAGAAAUUCCAAUCGAACCUGGAGAUAGCUGGUUCUCUCCGAAAUAGCUUUAGGGCUAGCCUCAAGUGAUGAUUAUUGGAGGUAGAGCACUGUUUGGACGAGGGGCCCCUCUCGGGUUACCGAAUUCAGACAAACUCCGAAUGCCAAUUAAUUUAACUUGGGAGUCAGAACAUGGGUGAUAAGGUCCGUGUUCGAAAGGGAAACAGCCCAGACCACCAGCUAAGGUCCCAAAAUAUAUGUUAAGUGGAAAAGGAUGUGGCGUUGCCCAGACAACUAGGAUGUUGGCUUAGAAGCAGCCAUCAUUUAAAGAGUGCGUAAUAGCUCACUAGUCGAGUGACACUGCGCCGAAAAUGUACCGGGGCUAAACAUAUUACCGAAGCUGUGGAUUGUCCUUUGGACAAUGGUAGGAGAGCGUUCUAAGGGCGUUGAAGCAUGAUCGCAAGGACAUGUGGAGCGCUUAGAAGUGAGAAUGCCGGUGUGAGUAGCGAAAGACGGGUGAGAAUCCCGUCCACCGAUUGACUAAGGUUUCCAGAGGAAGGCUCGUCCGCUCUGGGUUAGUCGGGUCCUAAGCUGAGGCCGACAGGCGUAGGCGAUGGAUAACAGGUUGAUAUUCCUGUACCACCUAUAAUCGUUUUAAUCGAUGGGGGGACGCAGUAGGAUAGGCGAAGCGUGCGAUUGGAUUGCACGUCUAAGCAGUAAGGCUGAGUAUUAGGCAAAUCCGGUACUCGUUAAGGCUGAGCUGUGAUGGGGAGAAGACAUUGUGUCUUCG